AGUUGACAUUAUCGUUGACGCAUUCUCUUUUUUGAACCAAACAGGUCUAUUCAGCUACUUAAAAAAGGGCGACACAGCAGGGUGGUACUCCUGAACCCUGGCCAAGAUAUGUUUAUACUUUUAACCUUAUCGUCUGCAACUGUAGCUCCACCGAUGCCAAGAAUUGGAUCACAAUGUUCAGCACCUCUGCAACUGCAGUCUCGGAGGGAUGACCACAACACCGCCUAAAUAGGCAAUAAUGCUGAGUGAGGCAAAGUGAAUGAAGUCAUCAGAUGAAACACACUGACAUUAUUACUGAAACAGAUAUAUUGUUGCUGAUUCUGUACUACUUAUCCAAUAAAACACAUGGUUUGGCCUAAAAAUGA